rnacentral:lncRNA from 1 species
GUAUUUUUAUUUGAGUAUUACAAAUUCUUUAACUUUUAACAACAACUUUCAAACUCUAAAUAUUCAAAUAAUAAUAAAAAAAACUUCAAAUACCAUCCCCGUAGUUUUUCACUUUCUCACUUUGAUACCCUGUAGUUUAUAGUGUAUCGAUUUAGUACCCCGCAGUUUCAUUUUUUCUCUUUUUAUUAUCCAUUCUACUAAUUUUUUUUCGCUAAAUUAGUAACAAAGUUAAAACUAAAAGCUACUAAAAUAAAUAUUCAAUAAACUUAGAUUGGUAUAUAAAGUUUUUUGUAUAUAAUUUAACGAAAUAUUAACGGAGUAGCUGACGAAAACAGAAAAAUAAAAUCAGAGGAUAUUAAAUUGAUAUAGUUUAAACCACAGAGUACUAAAGUAAAAAAAUGCAAAACCACAUGGAUAAUAUUUGAAGUUUGUCCUUAUAAUAAGAAUCCAAGGGAUAAUAUAUUAGUA